rnacentral:lncRNA from 1 species
GGAAGUCUUACAAAAUAAAUAAUAAUAAUAAAAUGAACUAAAUAUUAUUUCCCUGGCGCCACAAAGCUGACUGGGAAACGCCACCUAGAUCAACUCGCAAGCUUCAUUGUAAGGCGGAUCCUCUUCGACCACCUGCUCUUCACCAGUGGGGGGUUUACAUAUCGCAAGAGUGAGCCCACAAAAGAUCAAUAAUGUGCAUGAACUCACCAAAGGUGGGAGUUCAUGUGAAGUGUAAGGCUGAUCAACAAAAUAAAGGUUGAAGCUGAGCAUUGCUUUUAUAAGUUGGUCAAAAUUUUAUUAGCAGUUACUAAGUGUAAGUAAAUACAAAAAUCUUGUAAUAGUAAAUCAAAGUAAUAAUAAAUCCCAAUGCGAUGCAAAUGACAAAAUGAAUUUAAUUCCAUAAAUUAAUCAUGUGAGGGUCCGAGCCUUAUGACCGUCAGCACGGCUGAUAUACCAGUUUUACACUCUACAGAGGUUGCGCAUCUUUACCCACCAGUCAUGUUACCCAUCUGCCAAGGGAUAGCUACUGCCAUACACCUCUACCAAGGAAGCGAGGCAUGGUAACACUAUGAGGCAUUUACAAAGUUCCACUAGCUUCAGAAAACCCGCUACAGUUUUUAGGAAGCUCCAAUGCAGGGACCCCUCGCCUGACCGCUAUCGCAGCAAAAUCAACCCAAGGGCCUCCCUACAUUGACCACUCCCCUACUGCCCUUGCCCCUAUCGAGUAAGGUAGUCCUCCACUAGGUUUCCUAGUUAGUCAGCCAAGGGCAUCCCAUACCACCUUUGUGGUAGCACUAUUUUUCCGGGUGGUCGCUCCAUGUUCCAAUUAACAUAAUGAUCUUAUCAUGAACAGUAAAUAACAAACUGAGAAUAAAAGUAUAAUCAUGAAUAAUGUGUAUCUCCAUACCCAAAACCAUAUAAAGCAAUAGCAAGUACUACCCAAAAAGUUCAGUGGUAAUCAAGGUAUAAAGAUAGUCAAACUAGGGUAACCUAAAGGGUCCCAUCAAAAUUAACCUAUGCAGAUCAUUAUGAUUAAUAAGAACAUGAUUAGGUAAAAAGAAGUGAUAAAGGGCACAACUUGCCUUCAACGAGCUCCUACUUAGCAGUCUCCACCUGUUGAACCCCUGGAUCCUCUGUGGCUAGCUUGUCUACUCGCAACAAUACAAACAAACAUAGUAUAGCAAAAAUUAACAUCACACCAAGCAUCAAAACAGAAUGCAUGAUAUAUUCUAUGUAUCGUAACAAGAUCGUAGGAACAAGAAUCGCUAAAUUCGGAGUUAUGGUUUUCUAGUUGUGAAUUUCUAAAAUUAUUUAGUACCUAGAAGGCUAGAAUAGAGGGUUCAAGUGAAUAAUUUUAGUCCAAAUUUCAUGGUUAAACAGAGUUACUAGUUGAUAAACAAUAUUAAAACAAAAUUAAUGCCUCUGGAAUGAAUCAAUUUGGAGCUAAAAUGAUUUAAAUGUGAUUUAUAUAAGUUUUGCAAUUAUUUUUAUACUCAAAAUCGAUUUCUAAAUCUAUUUUCCUAUUUUCUUUAUUUUCUGGACUACGCACACGAUUCCAGAGAAGUUUAGGGUUCUAUUCAUAAAUUCUAGGGCUUAUCCGCUACUGUUUUUGGGUUCUAGUGGAUGGCAGACGAAUUUUAAAAAAGUCGGAGCCCUUUUUGUGAAAAGUGAGCGGCGAAGCGGUAUAGGCGAACCGGAGCCGAUGGAUCACCAUCAAGCGGCCAGCGUUUCAUCUGGGCGAUUAAAUGCCCGCAUGCAAGCAUGGUCGUCGAUCGCGAGUUCUGUGAACAUGAUCUAAUGACCACGGGAGGCCAUGCGACCCUUCGAUCUGAAUCGAACGGACCACACCACCCCAGCUGAUCCUAUGCGCACAAUCCAAUUUCGAACACCAAUCUAGGAUCCAACGCUUAACAAUAUGCCUUCCCCCUUGUCCCCCUUGCUAGCGCGCAGCGGCUAGGAACCGGCGGAGCACAGCCACGGUGGCGCAACUCCGGCGACCACCGAUUCCAAAUUUCCAACGCACGAACUUCUACGUAACGGGCUCUAAACACAACGAAACAAGAGUAAACUUUGAAGGCCUUGUUCGUUUUCAUCGGAUUGCACCCGGAAUCGUUUCACCUAAUCAAAGUUUAUAUAAAUCAGAGAAUCAAUCCGGUUAGGAAUCGUUUCGACCUAUCAAUCCGGUAGAAACGAACAAGGCCGAUGGGAGUUCCCUAACCGGAACGAUGAAGCGCAGCCGUCCGACCAUAGCUGGAGGUGAAUCCGCGGCGCCUCCCAACACCAGCGAGAAAUCCGGUUGGCGCAGGUGGUGCUCACACCAAAUAGCACACUCCCACACGACCCGCACGCGCCAGUGAAUAGCCAAGUGGUUUGUUGAGGGCUAGGCGAUGGCGAGGGUAUGGAUUGCCCACGGCGGCACUUAUUCCC